AAAGAUGUUCUUGUGAGAACUCCAUCUUUGGUUGGGGGGUGGAGAUGAAGUGUACCCUCCCACCAAGGUAGUUGAAUUUACAGAACCUCAAUGGUCAAGUGGCUAACAGGUUGUAUGGCCUCUUUUGCUGAAUGCUCACAUCCAGUUCAGACCAGGGCCGAGGGAGGCUGCCUAGUACCUGAUGGAUGCGGGGACUCCUGGGCACUGUCAGCCAAGACUUGGCCUACAUGCCUGGCCUGGCCUCUCUGGUAAAUGGGGGAGGAGCUGAUAUUCAGGCCUGAUGCUGAUCCCUCCUGACAGCUGCUCCUAAGGCUGGCAAGGCAGCAGCAGGCAGGGGGGGAGGGACCAGAUUUAAAGAUCCAGCCGCCCUGCCCCCUGCCAGACUUGGGUAAGCCGGCAUCGGUGAGCAUCCUCUGAGCAUACAGUGCCCAGGCAAAUAGGUCAGGGACCCCUAUGCUCUGGUGUCCACUUCUUGGCACCCUGGGCGACACCCAGUCUUCAUUUCUGUUCCCAUUUCACAGGCCAACAGGGAGGACAGUGCCCCCACUAUGAGAUUUCGACGCCUGACUCCUGGCUACUUCCGGGUGCUACAGAUGCAGGUGGCUGGGGAGCUGAAGGCAGAGCCCCGGAGUCCCCUGGUUGGGAUUGUGGCUACAUUGUUGGCUGUCCUCGGGUUAGGUGGCUCCUGCUAUGCAGUAUGGAAGAUGGUGAAGCAGCGGCAACCAUCACAGGCCCCGUGAUGAGGCGGGUAGCCUCUCGCCCAGGCUUGGAGGUAGGCGAUUCAGGGGAGGGGGCUGCAAUAUCCGAAUCCCA
rnacentral:lncRNA from 1 species